CAGAACAAUACAGAUGCAGUUUUCCCCAGAUGCCAUAAAUAAACUAAGAGUAGCACAACUGCAAAACCAGUUCACCUACUGGCAAUUACAUGAUUAAACUUAACCCAACCCAAAUAAUGAAGGCGAGACAAGUCUUGUUGCCAGGCUUGUUAAGAAGGAACAUAGACCAGGACAUUAAAAGACACGUCAAGCUCCAGUGCGGAAAUACAUUCUUGGACAUCACCGGUCUCAAACGCCACCAUGAUCAAGACUUUCAUUCUUAUGCUUCUGCUUGUCGGAGCCAACAGUCAAACAGACGAUCCUGAGCCAGAAGUUCCUGAACCAGAAGUUCCUGAGCCAGAAGUUCCUGUGCCAGAAGUUCCUCCUCCUGAAGACCUGGAUAUAAAUAUUAUAUUGAACAAUCCACUCCCAGAGAAUGUCAAACUUGUUAGUGAGGUUGAGGGUGCAAAGAUCACAAUUAAACUUGUGCCCUCUGUUACCAAAACCACCCCAUGGAUGGGCACUGAUUUAUAGUGACAUUUAUAUCUGACAUCAUGUUCCUGUUCUAUAUUCCUAGCAUUUAUUCAAUUGCUAACCACUAGGGGCUGUGUGGUGGGAAAGUGGCAGAUUUAGGGCAAAGUGUAGCGUUGUUCCUGAGAAGAAUAGAUUGGAAAGAAUAUUAUAUUUCAUAAUAUUAUAUGUUCAUUCAAAAAAGAGGAGGAACAAAGCCACACUUUGGUUAAGAAGUUUAUUGGUGAAAAGUCUCUAAAUAUUUCUUUCUUCGGAAAAGUUAAUCUUAUUGAAAAUCAUGAAGUCUUUGUGCUCUCCGUUAAUUGUAAGCUUUUUCUGUCAGCAAUCAUCAUUAAAAAUAUCAAAUAAAA